rnacentral:antisense_RNA from 1 species
AAUAAUAAAAUUUACCCCUGGGGUUAAGGGUCAAGUGGGAAAUUUUUUUUACUUUUUCCCCCAGGGGGGGCCCCCCCCCCCCCCCCCCCUCCAAAAUACAGAACCUUGAAUAUUAAAAGAAGAACACCUCUACCUAAUCAGAUUAAGUGAAUACCAAUUUUUUUUCUA